AGGAAGCACAUUGCUUGGUCCAAUCUACGGUUCUGUUGGUAGAAAGAACUCUCGAACGACACCGAAAAGACCAACACCAGCUAGUUGCAGUAGACUUGGUAGUAGCGCAAGUGCCAAAAACCAGAGGAAUCUUGCCAAAGGGAGUUCAUCAGGGCCAAAGAGGAUCAAUUUUUAUUCACCCAUCAUGAAAUGACCUGGGCACCCCAAAAGCCUGCAUUGUUUUUACUCUCCUCUUGUGAAAUGACCCCGGCACCUCCAACGCCUGCAUUAUUCACUGUGUAUUAUGACCAAUGCUGUGAAUCCCUGGCUUUGCUUCACAUGCAACAUGGCAUCAACCAUUUUGUUCACAUUAUUAAGCUCUUGUUGGAACUUGGUUGUGCCUUUUUACAUUUGCUUUCUUCAGUGUGAUAU